AAAAAUAUGCUUAUUUUUCCCACAUUUUGUGGGUUUUCUUCUCGUUUCAGACUAUUAAACACCCACAGCAACGACAACUCUAUGAUCCUGUAUGAUCCGAAAUUUCCUGUACGUGCAUCUUCGGGGCAGCGGAAUAGUUUUGCGAUACCUCCGCAUCGCGAGCUGAGAGCCACGAUCGAGCCACGAAGAGCGAUCGAAUGUCCUGCUCGGCCACCAACGAAGGAAGGAUUGAGGGAGUUGGGUAAGUUUAGUGUUAUGAUUUGUGAAUGUAUAUUAUUAAA